rnacentral:rRNA from 1 species
UGGUUGAUCCUGCCAGAGGCCAUUGCUAUCGGAGUCCGAUUUAGCCAUGCUAGUCGCACGAGUUUAGACUCGUGGCGAACAGCUCAGUGACACGUGGCCAAACUACCCUGUGGACCAGGAUAACCUCGGGAAACUGAGGCUAAUCCUGGAUACAGCUUCCGGCCUGGAACGGCGGAAGCUGGAAACGUUUCGGCGCCACAGGAUGUGGCUGCGGCCGAUUAGGUUGACGGUGGGGUAACGGCCCACCGUGCCGAUAAUCGGUACGGGUCAUGAGAGUGAGAGCCCGGAGACGGUAUCUGAGACAAGAUACCGGGCCCUACGGGGCGCAGCAGGCGCGAAACCUUUACACUGCACGACAGUGCGAUAGGGGGACUCCGAGUGCGAGGGCAUACAGUCCUCGCUUUUCUGUACCGUAAGGUGGUACAGGAACAAGGGCUGGGCAAGACCGGUGCCAGCCGCCGCGGUAAUACCGGCAGCCCGAGUGAUGGCCGAUAUUAUUGGGCCUAAAGCGUCCGUAGCCGGCCGGACAAGUCCGUUGGGAAAUCGACGUGCCUAACGCGUCGGCGUCCAGCGGAAACUGUUCGGCUUGGGACCGGAAGACCCGAGGGGUACGUCCGGGGUAGGAGUGAAAUCCCGUAAUCCUGGACGGACCGCCGGUGGCGAAAGCGCCUCGGGAGGACGGAUCCGACGGUGAGGGACGAAAGCCAGGGUCUCGAACCGGAUUAGAUACCCGGGUAGUCCUGGCCGUAAACGAUGCCCGCUAGGUGUGGCGCAGGCUACGAGCCUGCGCUGUGCCGUAGGGAAGCCGUGAAGCGGGCCGCCUGGGAAGUACGUCCGCAAGGAUGAAACUUAAAGGAAUUGGCGGGGGAGCACUACAACCGGAGGAGCCUGCGGUUUAAUUGGAUUCAACGCCGGAA